rnacentral:lncRNA from 1 species
AAGGAGACAGGCUAUGCAAUUAGAUUUAGAUCACUCUUAUGUUUGCGGUACGUUUCAGAUAAAUAUUUCUGAUGGGAUCACGACUUGGCAACCAGUGCUGUCUGGCAGUCCAUGUGAGAAUGUCCAAGGUGAACUCAGAGCGGCAGAAGUUUGCCGUUGCACUGCACUGCGCUUGGUACGAGUCCUCAUUAGAAGGAAAAGUAUCCAUCCAACAUGGGCUGUCAGCUUAACAACUUUCCUCUUUCCCACAUACUCUUCUUUGAACAGAGAAGGGUUUUUUAUUAUUAUUAUCAAAGUCCCUCAGGAUCAUAGUUUAUGAGAGACUUCAUGCAAGUUUAAAACCUAUUUGAGUCUUUUCUUGCUGCUCAUACUUACACGCUUACUUAUACAAG